GGCUCUUUGGCGCAAUGGUAGCGCGUGGUCCUCCUACUUCGUGCGUUUGGUAGCUUACGCUGUGGUUGUGAGACUGAGGUUGUGGGUUCGAGUCCCAUGAGGGUCG